AUUUAAUGAUUCAAUUAGAGGCCUCGCUACUGUUUACUUAAGGGGAUUGAUAUCCUGGAGAUAAACUUUUAUUCAAUGGUUCAAUAGUGCUUUAAUAUCAAGGCAGAGUGAAAUUAUUUUUUUGCAUACAGAUUAGUAAAAUUAUUAACAUACCAGAGCUGCCAACACUCACGCAUUGACUGUGUGACGCAGGCAGCAUUCCGCCCAAUUCUCACGCUGACCACAACAUUUCUCACGCUCUGUCGUGAGAAAUUCUGUGAUCAACGAGAAUUUCAAAACUAAUAUCGACGGCUUGUGCGCACGUCUGUUGGCAAGCAGCAACACUCUUAUUCGCUCUUGACCGAACCGUCACACACCUCCAAACCAUGCCCCCAUGCAAAUUUACAUUGAAAGACACGGACCGGGCAGUGAAUGAGUGUCACCCAGCGCAGCAAGUAAGGCCAUGUCCUGCACCUGGCGGCAGUCAGAGUUUAAAGAUUUGCCGGAAGCGGCUGACACGAGUGAGGCCGGCGAGAGGGCCCUGUACAACUGUAGGAGGACCUCUUUGCUCCUAUACUCCUUACCUCCUUACUGAGGGCCGCCGUGUGGUGAGCUGCGGAGUGCUGAGACCGCCGACUCCAACAUUGCGAACCUACAGUACAGUGAGUGUACUUGUACCCGAUGUGCCGAAACUGUUCAAGGGUUUGCUGAUCAUCUCAAUCUCCAGGGCAAUCAGGAUGGACAAUCAAAGCUGCCUUGCAGCAAUGCCAUCACACUGAAAAACGAGUAAAUAAAAAUUAUCACACACA